rnacentral:pre_miRNA from 1 species
AUUUGGCAUCUGUGGAAUAAUCCUUCCUUACCAGAGAUUAUACACCGGUGCCAAGUAA